rnacentral:rRNA from 1 species
GACGAACGCUGGCGGCGUGCCUAAUACAUGCAAGUCGAACGCUUCUCUCCUCCCGAGUGCUUGCCCUCAAUUGGAAAGAGGAGUGGCGGACGGGUGAGUAACACGUGGGUAACCUACCCAUCAGAGGGGGAUAACACUUGGAAACAGGUGCUAAUACCGCAUAACAGUUUAUGCCGCAUGGCAUAAGAGUGAAGGGCGCUUUCGGGUGUCGCUGAUGGAUGGACCCGCGGUGCAUUAGCUAGUUGGUGAGGUAACGGCUCACCAAGGCCACGAUGCAUAGCCGACCUGAGAGGGUGAUCGGCCACACUGGGACUGAGACACGGCCCAGACUCCUACGGGAGGCAGCAGUAGGGAAUCUUCGGCAAUGGACGAAAGUCUGACCGAGCAACGCCGCGUGAGUGAAGAAGGUUUUCGGAUCGUAAAACUCUGUUGUUAGAGAAGAACAAGGACGUUAGUAACUGAACGUCCCCUGACGGUAUCUAACCAGAAAGCCACGGCUAACUACGUG